AGUUUGUCCUUGUAUUAUCAUGUAUUCAGGGGCAAAAAUGCCCAGAACAAAGAAAUGAUGAAUUGUAUUGUAGUCAUUCUUGUAGUUAAAUAUUAUGUUUAAAAUUGAUCAUCACUUGGGAUGUUGCCAACUGCAGGGUCGAUGAGACAUUGAAUUGCCAUAUUGCUUUUCCCUCUUAUUGACAUGUUAAGAAUAUAUCUUUAACAAUAGAAUUUAAUAUUUGUGCUUUCAGGUAGUAAGAGACAUGAUCAGAUCGCUGACCAGUGAUGAAGGCGUUAUGUGGUCGUUGACGUCAUGCUAAAUGUUGGUGUAGUGCCAAAUAAGAAGAUACGGAACAAAAUCCCUAAGCUAGACAUUAUGCGUGGAUGUAGGUGGAUGUGGGCGCUGUGGCCGCCACCAAGGAUGUAGGGGUCGCGCCCCAAGCUGCAAGUACGUGGUAGGGCGUCAAAACUGACGAGGACACGGGAGCUGCACUGCAGCAUGAGUGUUUUUCAUAAUUUAUUUAGUGGUGAAAUUUUCAGGCCUAUGAACUGGAUGAUAUUUUCAUUGCUGGCAAUCUUCAUCAACCUAUCUACGAGGACAUUGAUAUACUAAUUGCUGCACAAGUGUUCUCAGCACCGGCUAGCAAGAAGAGAGUAUGAUUGUUCAAUGCUCACUGUUGUAAGCUUGUUUCACGAGGAGCUUCUCAGUGUUGUACAUGUAGGGUGUGGAUAAUAUAAAUAAAAUCUAUUUGUUCA